GUCCUGGCCGUAAACGAUGUCCACUAGAUUGAGGAUCUUUUGACGGACCCUCGGUCGAAGCAAAAGCGUUAAGUGGACCGCCUGGGAAGUACGGUCGCAAGGCUAAAACUCAAAGGAAUUGACGGGGGCUCACACAAGCGGUGGAGCAUGUUGCUUAAUUCGAUGCAACGCGAAGAACCUUAUCCUGGGCUUGAAAAGCAUGGAUACGGCGCCCGAAAUGGACGUCCGUUGCCCUUCGGGGUUAAACAUGUACAGGUGCUGCAUGGCUGUCGU
rnacentral:rRNA from 1 species